rnacentral:rRNA from 1 species
CCACUGCUAUCGGGAUAGGACUAAGACAUGCUAGUUGAGCGCUUCCAGCCAAUACGGGAGCGCAGCGCACAGCUCAGUAACACGUGGCUAAUCUGCCCUUGGGACCGGAACACCCCCGGGAAACUGGGGCUAAUUCUCGAUAGGUGAAGAACUCUGGAAUGAGUCUUCACCAAAAAGACGUUUACGUUAUGCUCGUAGGCGUCGCCCAAGGAUGAGGCCGCGACCGAUCAGGUUGUUGGUGAGGUAAUGGCUCACCAAGCCUUUUACCGGUGCGGGCCGUGAGAGCGGGAGCCCGGAGAUGGGCACUGAGACAAGGGCCCAGGCCCUACGGGGCGCAGCAGUCGCGAAAACUUUGCAAUACACGAAAGUGUGACAGGGCUAUCCCGAGUGCCAUCCGCUGAGGAAGGCUUUUACCCAGUCUAGAACGCUGGGGGAAUAAGGAGAGGGCAAGUCUGGUGUCAGCCGCCGCGGUAAUACCAGCUCUCCGAGUGGUGUGGAUGUUUAUUGGGCCUAAAGCAUCCGUAGCUGGCUGAGUUAGUCCCUUGUUAAAUCCACCGAAUUAAUCGUUGGAUUGCGGGGGAUACUGCUCGGCUAGGGGACGAGAGAGGCAGACGGUAUUUCUGGGGUAGGGGUGAAAUCCUAUAAUCCCAGGGAGGACCACCAGUGGCGGAAGGCUGUCUGCUAGAGCGCGCCCGACGGUGAGGGAUGAAAGCUGGGGGAGCGAACCGGAUUAGAUACCCGGGUAGUCCCAGCUGUAAACGAUGCAGGCUAGUGUUUGGACGGCCACGUGC